rnacentral:rRNA from 1 species
AGUGAACGCUGGCGGUAGGCCUAACACAUGCAAGUCGAACGGCAGCACAGUAAGAGCUUGCUCUUACGGGUGGCGAGUGGCGGACGGGAGAGGAAUACAUCGGAAUCUACUUUUUCGGGGGGGAUAACGUAGGGAAACUUACGCUAAUACCGCAUACGACCUACGGGGGAAAGCAGGGGAUCUUCGGACCUUGCGGGAUUGGAUGAGCCGAUGUCGGAUUAGCUAGUUGGCGGGUUAAAGGCCCACCAAGGCGACGAUCCGUAGCUGGUCUGAGAGGAUGGUCGCCCACACUGGAACUGAGACACGGUCCAGACUCCUACGGGAGGCAGCAGUGGGGAAUAUUGGACAAUGGGCGCAAGCCUGAUCCAGCCAUACCGCGUGGGUGACGAAGGCCUUCGGGUUGUGAAGCCCUUUUGUUGGGAAAGAACAGCUGCCGGUUAAUACCACGCUGUUCUGACGGUACCCAAUGAAUAAGCACCGGCUAACUUCGUG